AUUGAACGCUGGCGGCAUGCCUUACACAUGCAAGUCGAACGGUAACAGGUCUUCGGAUGCUGACGAGUGGCGAACGGGUGAGUAAUACAUCGGAACGUGCCCGAUCGUGGGGGAUAACGAAGCGAAAGCUUUGCUAAUACCGCAUACGAUCUACGGAUGAAAGCAGGGGACCGCAAGGCCUUGCGCGAACGGAGCGGCCGAUGGCAGAUUAGGUAGGUGGUGGGAUAAAAGCUUACCAAGCCGACGAUCUGUAGCUGGUCUGAGAGGACGACCAGCCACACUGGGACUGAGGCACGGCCCAGACUCCUACGGGAGGCAGCAGUGGGGAAUUUUGGACAAUGGGCGAAAGCCUGAUCCAGCCAUGCCGCGUGCAGGAUGAAGGCCUUCGGGUUGUAAACUGCUUUUGUACGGAACGAAAAGACUCUGGUUAAUACCUGGGGUCCAUGACGGUACCGUAAGAAUAAGCCCCGGCUAACUACGUGCCAGCAGCCGCGGUAA
rnacentral:rRNA from 1 species